AGCGAACGCUGGCGGCGUGCUUAACACAUGCAAGUCGAGUGACGGCGCACGGGUGAGUAACACGUGGGAAUCUGCCCUCUAUGGGGAAUAACCCGCCGAAAGGCGGGCUAAUACCGCAUAGGAGGAGCCCGCGCCCGAUUAGCUUGUUGGCGGGGUAACGGCCCACCAAGGCUUUGAUCGGUAGCCGGUCUGAGAGGACGACCGGCCACACUGGAACUGAGACACGGUCCAGACUCCUACGGGAGGCAGCAGUGGGGAAUAUUGCGCAAUGGGCGAAAGCCUGACGCAGCGACGCCGCGUGGGGGAUGAAGCUUCUCGGAGUGUAAACCCCUUUCGGCCCGGAUGACGGUACGGGUAUAAGAAGCCCCGGCUAACUACGUGCCAGCAGCCGCGGUAAGACGUAGGGGGCCAGCGUUGCUCGGAAUAACUGGGCGUAAAGGGUUCGUAGGCGGUGUGGCAAGUCGGGAGUGAAAUCCUGAGGCUUAACUUCAGGACUGCUUCCGAAACUGCCAUGCUCGAGUGCGGGAGAGGCGAGUGGAACUGCAGGUGUAGCGGUGAAAUGCGUAGAUAUCUGCAGGAACACCAGUGGCGAAAGCGGCUCGCUGGACCGCAACUGACGCUGAGGAACGAAAGCUAGGGGAGCAAACAGGAUUAGAUACCCUGGUAGUCCUAGCCCUAAACGGUCAGAACUUGGGGUGGGUCCCGGAGCUAACGCGUUAAGUUCUG
rnacentral:rRNA from 1 species